rnacentral:rRNA from 1 species
UACGUAGGGUGCGAGCGUUGUCCGGAAUUAUUGGGCGUAAAGAGCUUGUAGGUGGUUUGUCGCGUCUGCUGUGAAAAUCCGGGGCUCAACCCCGGACUUGCAGUGGGUACGGGCAGACUAGAGUGUGGUAGGGGAGACUGGAAUUCCUGGUGUAGCGGUGGAAUGCGCAGAUAUCAGGAGGAACACCGAUGGCGAAGGCAGGUCUCUGGGCCAUUACUGACACUGAGGCACGAAAGCGUGGGGAGCAAACAGG